rnacentral:rRNA from 1 species
UCGCUCUACAUCCCGCGCGUGGUCUGGUCCUUCUUCCCGCUCGAUGGGCUGCUCGGGGCGGACGCCGUCGCGGGCUCCCGCCCGGUGCUGGCCGCGCAGGUCACCGAGCUCGCCGACGGCGUCUUCAUCGCCAUGUCGCUCAACCACGGCGUCGCCGACGGAACCACCUUCUGGCACUUCUUCAACACCUGGUCCGAGCUAAGUCGCCGGAGUGUCGGUGGCUCCUCUGAUGAUGCUGUAGUAAUCUCGGCGCCGUCGCCGGUUUUCGACAGGCAGUGGUUCCUGGACAGCUGCCCCGUCCCCGUCCCCAUCCCUCUGCCCUUCGGCACGGUGGAGGACAUGGUCGGUAAGCGCGUACCCAAGUUCCCGCCGGUGCAUGAGUGCUUUCUCCAUUUCCCGGCGGAGAGAGUAAAAGAGCUCAAGGCGAAGGCGAACGCGGAGAUGGCCGGCACCGCCACCACCACAAUCUCCUCGCUGCAGGCCCUGCUCGCGCACCUGUGGCGCGCGGUGUGCCGAGCCCGGCGGCUCGCGCCGGAGCAGAAGAUGGCGUACUACCUCCUCGUCGGAUGCCGUGGCCGCGUCGACGGCAUACGCGCGUCGUACGCGGGCAAUGCCGUGGUGGCGCACGCGAGCACGGCAUCGCCCGCCGGCGAGAUCCUCGGCAGGGGGCUGGGCUGGGCGGCGUGGCUCCUUAACAGGGCCGUGGCGUCGUUUGCGGAGGCGAGCGCGAGGGAGAAGCUCGCGCGCUGGCCCCUGGAGCCCAGCUUCUCGUCCCUGCCCGCUCUGGUGGCGACCGCGCACGCCAUGGUGCUGACGGGGAGCUCGCCGAGGUUCGACGUGUACGGGAACGACUUCGGCUGGGGCGCGCCGGUGGCCGUCCGCAGCGGCCCGGCCAACAAGCUGGACGGGAAGGCGACGGUGUACGAGGGGCGAGGCGGCCAAGGGAGCAUGGCGCUGGAGGUGUGCCUCGCGCCGGAGGCGCUCGCGAGGCUGGUCGCCGACGAGGAGUUCAUGAGCGCGGUGGCCACCCCAGGUUAA